rnacentral:ncRNA from 1 species
UAAAAUCCGAUGAACAAAGGUAAGUAGUCAAAAACACGGUUUUUCAGAGAGUCGGCGAUGGUGGGAUGCCGGCAAAUACGAUUUUGAUGAAUGGAUUUGUGAGGAGCAUAAAGAACGGGGUUUCCCAAUUAUUUAUCGCCGUUUCCCCACGUUACAGGGGCAGGGUAUUGAUGCACUUUUGCUGCGUACCCGGGAAGGAGAAUUUUAUAUUCUCGAAUUUGGGUGGCACCACGAGCUUAUCGUCCCAUAG